GGGCCAAACAAAACUCGUUCUUA
rnacentral:siRNA from 1 species